CGGCUCCCCGCCCCGGGCGCCCGCACGGUAGCCGCCUGCGGCGGGACGCAGUGGACGGGGAAGAUGUGGUGUUUGCAAAGCCGGGCGUUCCAGAGACCAAGUGCUGAGCAAACACUCAUGUUUCUGAGACUCAGACCAGGAAAGCUUUACAAAACACGGAAAGGGGCAUCCAGACUUUACCAGAGCCAGCCUCCCCUCAGGUGUAAGUUCGCGAGGGUAACAGAAUGGCCGGCAUCCACUGAGCCUCUGCCACUACAUUUAGAAAACCUAUAAAGUGGAGCUUACUUAAUAGAAUGCCAGGAAAAUUCCCCAAAGAUGGAGAAACUGGUAACUCAGGUCAGGAAAUGGCAGAACGAGGAUUUGAACCCACAUCUAUCUGUCUACCCAGCCUACAAUUUUUCCAUUCUGCUGAAAGCUGGGAGGAGCCUUAGGCAGUGUCUCAUCCGCUGGUUUUCAAACCGGAUUCUAAGGAACGCGAGGCUCUCCAGGAAGUGCUUUAGGAAUCUUUGGGGAAGAACUGGGACAGAGGACAUGUGUUGGGAGGCCAGAACAAUGACCUAUCAGCAAUCUAACCUCAGAGACUAAAGCAAGAAGGAAGACACAACUACAUGCAUGAAUAUACAACUGUUUUUAUGUAUGUACAUAUUAUGAAGCUAUGCCACAGAGGAAGAAAAUAGAGAUAACUAUAUAAAAUAAGAAGUUGCAAGAAACGAUCAACAAUGAAUCUGGCAAUGGGUGCUCUGUGCCACUGAUUCUGAAAUCUCUCCUUUUGAAGUCACUUUAAUGAGCCCAAGACUGACCAUUUUCAUUAUCUCUAGUUUAUACACUCGGCUGAUGGAACUCUGAUUAGGAAAAUUUCUCUUUUUCUUCACUUUCUUUUAUCACCAAACACCCUGAAAAUGAUAAGAGAGCAGUGUGUCCUGAAGCAUGGGGCUCUCCCUUCCCUCUGAAAUUAUUUCUAUUUCAUCUGUGUUUUUUUUUUUAAACUACUCCUUACAAAAGAACAAUAGAAGGACCUAAAUUUCUGUCUUAGCACUAAAUGCAUCUCAGUGCUGCGGAAACAUUUCAUUUUCUAGCGAUUUCAGGGUCUGUAUAUUCCCUGCUGUUAUAGUCUUUAUCCCAAUAAAAAGAAAGGAAAAAAAGGACACAAGAAAGGAAAGAAGAAACCCUACAUGACAAGAACAUUAAACCCCAAGGGUGGUUCAUUUCAAUGCUGAAGUCUUUCUUCAGUGCUCCAGGGACGCUGAUGUCAACGUCUUAAUAAGGGAAGUAAAGCGGUCUAUACGCCUCAGAGCACGUGCACUCAAACCGGAAAAUUGGUGUGAAAGGGAGACAGCCAGCCCUGCCUUGGACCAAUGGCAGCCACAAAGUAAGGGGCCUCUUCUGGUGAGGACCACAUGACACCAUUUGCAGAGGGCAGACUUAAUGUUGUCACCAUUAGGGCUGGAAGAAAACACCUUUGAAGAAAUAUUUGUUUUAUCCCCCUCCCCCAAAUCUUGAAAUCAUCUCAUACAUAUGUUGGAAAUGAUUCUACUUGAAUUUAAUUAAAUUCUAUUUUUAUAACGUUGAAAUAACCUUGCACUGCAAAUUGAAACGACAUUGCUGUAACCUAGAGCGAUUUUGCUGUCGUGAGAACUGCUAUGUCAGGCAUUACAUUUCAAUUUGGAGUAUCAUGAAUUAUUUCUACAUAUAAACUAAUAAAUUAUACAAUACGAUGUGUCAGCAAUUCGGCCCCAUUUGCAUUUUGAUAAACGGAAAAGCAAAUGGAAAUCUGAGAGCCAUUAGUUUGUCUGAAUUUUUAAAUAUUCUGUAAGUAAUAUUUAAUGAUAUAAAAUUUUUAUUAUCCCAUUUUUUUGCUUUGCUUCACAUUGUUUAGGCUUUGAGAUUCCUAGCGAUGAUUUGCCAAAAUAAAAGCAUGAAAAUAAAAUGGAGAGAUUUAUCCACAUUUUAAAGUGUAUAUUUCCUAUAAGGAUACUCCCCCCCCCCCUUUGUUUUCUUUUCUAUUAUGAAAUUUGCCUGAAUAAAGGGCCCAGAAGUUUAGGAAUGGCUCAUUUAGGUUCAGACUUGUAUGUGGAUUUCUCCUUGGGGGUCAUCAUCAUAGUUCUCACUCAUUAAUGGCAAGCUCUUAAAAACUAACAACUUGUAUAUUUUUGGAUUGACAGAAGAUCUUCAACGAUCUAGUUCAAAUAAACAUUUGAAAUCAGUUCUAUACACUUAUGAAAGUCAACAUGAAUACAUUAACCUGCAUUCUUUCAGUUGCGAGUGACAGAAACAAACUCAAACCGACAUUAGCAUCAAAUGAUAACUGACAUUUACACUUUUUUUCUUUUGAUCACUGUGAAGGCCAGAGGUUAAACUGGCUUUAUGGAUGGCAGGCUGUAGAAACUUUCUGUCGUCCGCUUUUUUCUUCUUUUUUGAUAAGUGUAUUGGUUCUAAUCUUAGAUUUUCCCCAGUGGUGGCAGAAGAGGCCAUUAGCAACUCUUGGCUCAUGUCUUAAAACCUUAGCAAUCUCAGGAGAAAGCCUCUUUGCCAACAUUGCCAGCCAUUUAUUCUGACUGGGAUAAUUUGGGACAUAUGGCAGUCCCUGAAUCAGUCACCAUGUCCAGAGAAAUGGAAUAUUCUAAUUAGCCAAGUCUGGGACACGUCCUCCACUCUGAAGGUAGGACAGAGGCUCAGCUCCAUCUGAACCAUGAAGACUGGGAUAGAGGAGAAAAAAAAUUCUAAUGUAUAAUACAAAAGAUUACAUCACUGAGUUGGAUGGUCAGUGCCUAUUAUCAUCUCUAGGAUCAGAUUACUAGUGUAAAAAAAAGAGAGAGAAAGUGGACUAGGAUCUGGGCACCUAGGUGGCUCCGUCUGUUAAGUGCUCCAUUCUUGGUUUUGGCUCAGGUCACCAUCUCAUGGUUUGUGAGUUUGAGCCCCUUAUCGGGCUCCGCACUGCCCAUGAGGAGUCUGCUUGGGAUUCCCUCUCUCCCAACUUCUCUGCCCCUCACCUGCUCAUGCUCUCUCUCAAAAUAAAUGAAUAAACUUAAAAAAAAAAAAGGAAAGAUGGAGAAACGGGAACCCUCUUGCACUGUUGGUGGGAAUGCAAAUUGGUGCAGCCACUCUGGAAAACAGUGUGGAGGUUCCUCAAAAAAUUAAAAAUAGACCUACCCUAUAACCCAGCAAUAGCACUGCUAGGAAUUGACCCAAGGGAUACAGGAGUACUGAUGCAUAGGGGCACUUGUACCCCGAUGUUUAUAGCAGCACUCUCAACAAUAGCCAAAUUAUGGAAAGAGCCCAAAUGUCCAUCAACUGAUGAAUGGAUAAAGAAAUUGUGGUUUAUAUACACAAUGGAGUACUACGUGGCAAUGAGGAAGAAUGAAAUAUGGCCCUUUGUAGCAACAUGGAUGGAACUGGAGAGUGUUAUGCCAAGUGAAAUAAGCCAUACAGAGAAAGACAGAUACCAUAUGGUUUCACUCUUAUGUGGAUCCUGAGAAACUUAACAGAAACCCAUGGGGGAGGGGAAGAAAAAAAAAAGAGGUUAGAGUGGAAGACAGCCAAAGCAUAAGAGACUCUUAAAAACUGAGAACAGGGGCGCCUGGGUGGCGCAGUCGGUUAAGCGUCCGACUUCAGCCAGGUCACGAUCUCGCGGUCUGGGAGUUCGAGCCCCGCGUCAGGCUCUGGGCUGAUGGCUCAGAGCCUGGAGCCUGUUUCCGAUUCUGUGUCUCCCUCUCUCUCUGCCCCUCCCCUGUUCAUGCUCUGUCUCUCUCUGUCCCAGAAAUAAAUAAACGUUGAAAAAAAAAAAUAAAAAAAAACAAAACUGAGAACAAACUGA